AUCAUGUAUCUAACCAUUAAACAUCUUAUUAUCAUGUAUCUAAACAUUAAACAUCUAUCAUCAUGUAUCUACAUGUAUCUAAACAUGAAACAUCUUAUCAUCAUGUAUAUGAACAUGAAACAUCUUAUCAUGAAACAUCUUAUCAUGUAUCUAAACAUUAAACAUCUUAUCAUCAUGUAUCUAAACAUGAAUCAUCUUAUCAUCAUAUACUACAUGUAUCUAAAAAUGAAACAUCUAAUCAUCAUAUACUACAUGUAUCUAAACAUGAAUCAUCUUAUCAUACACUACAUGUAUCUAAACAUGAAACAUCUUAUCAUAUACUACAUGUAUCUAAACAUGAAACAUCUUAUAAUAUACUACAUGUAUCUAAACAUGAAACAUCUUAUCAUCAUAUACUACAUGUAUCUAAACAUGAAACAUCUUAUCAUCAUGUAUCUAAACAUUAAACAUCUUAUCAUCAUGUAUCUAAACAUGAAUCAUCUUAUCAUCAUAUACUACAUGUAUCUAAAAAUGAAACAUCUAAUCAUAUACUACAUGUAUCUAAACAUGAAACAUCUUAUCAUAUACUACUUCUUAUCAUCAUGUAUCUAACCAUUAAACAUCUUAUUAUCAUGUAUCUAAACAUUAAACAUCUAUCAUCAUGUAUCUACAUGUAUCUAAACAUGAAACAUCUUAUCAUCAUGUAUAUGAACAUGAAACAUCUUAUCAUGAAACAUCUUAUCAUGUAUCUAAACAUCUUAUCAUCAUGUACUAUCAUGUACAUUAAACAUCUUAUCAUCAUGUACAUCUAAACAUGAAUCAUCUUAUCAUCAUAUACUACAUGUAUCUAAAAAUGAAACAUCUAAUCAUCACAUACUACAUGUAUCUAAACAUGAAUCAUCUUAUCAUCAUACACUACAUGUAUCUAAACAUGAAACAUCUUAUCAUAUACUACAUGUAUCUAAACAUGAAACAUCUUAUAAUAUACUACAUGUAUCUAAACAUGAAACAUCUUAUCAUAUACUACAUGUACCUAAACAUGAAACAUCUUAUCAUCAUAUACUACAUGUAUCUAAAAAUGAAACAUCUAAUCAUCAUAUACUACAUGUAUCUAAACAUGAAUCAUCUUAUCAUCAUACACUACAUGUAUCUAAACAUGAAACAUCUAAUCAUCAUAUACUACAUGUAUCUAAACAUGAAUCAUCUUAUCAUACACUACAUGUAUCUAAACAUGAAACAUCUUAUAAUAUACUACAUGUAUCUAAACAUGAAACAGCUUAUCAUAUACUACAUAUAUCUAAACAUGAAACAUCUUAUCAUCAUAUACUACAUGUAUCUAAACAUCAAACAUCUUAUCAUCAUGUAUCUAAACAUUAAACAUCUUAUCAUCAUGUAUCUAAACAUGAAUCAUCUUAUCAUAUACUACAUGUAUCUAAACAUGAAACAUCUUAUCAUAUACUACAUGUAUCUAAACAUGAAACAUCUUAUCAUAUACUACAUGUAUCUAAACAUGAAACAUCUUAUCAUCUCAUACUACUACAUGUAUCUAAACAUGAAACAUCUUAUCAUCAUAUACUACAUGUAUCUAAAAAUGAAACAUCUAAUCAUCAUAUACUACAUGUAUCUAAACAUGAAUCAUCUUAUUAUCAUAUACUACAUGUAUCUAAACAUGAAACAUCUUAUCAUAUACUACAUGUAUCUAAACAUGAAACAUCUUAUCAUCAUGUAUCUAAACAUGAAACAUCUUAUCAUCAUGUAUCUAAACAUGAAACAUCUUAUCAUGAAACAACUUAUCAUCAUGUAUCUAAACAUUAAACAUCUUAUCAUCAUUUACUACAUGUAUCUAAACAUGAAACAUCUUAUCAUAUACUACAUGUAUCUAAACAUGAAACAUCUUAUCAUCAUAUACUACAUGUAUCUAAACAUGAAACAUCUUAUCAUCAUGUAUAUAAACAUGAAACAUCUUAUCAUCAUGUAUCUAAACAUGAAACAUCUUAUCAUGAAACAUCUUAUCAUCAUGUAUCUAAACAUUAAACAUCUUAUCAUCAUAUCAUGUAUCUAAACAUGAAACAUCUUAUCAUAUACUACAUCUUAUCAUCAUGUAUCUAACCAUUAAACAUCUUAUUAUCAUGUAUCUAAACAUUAAACAUCUAUCAUCAUGUAUCUACAUGUAUCUAAACAUGAAACAUCUUAUCAUCAUGUAUAUGAACAUGAAACAUCUUAUCAUGAAACAUCUUAUCAUGUAUCUAAACAUUAAACAUCUUAUCAUCAUGUAUCUAAACAUGAAUCAUCUUAUCAUCAUAUACUACAUGUAUCUAAAAAUGAAACAUCUAAUCAUCAUGUUUACUAAACAUUAUGUUACUACUACAUGUAUCUAAACAUUAAACAUCUUAUCAUCAUGUAUCUAAACAUUAAACAUCUUAUCAUCAUCAUAUCUAAACAUGAAUCAUCUUAUCAUACACUACAUGUAUCUAAACAUGAAACAUCUUAUAAUAUACUACAUGUAUCUAAACAUGAAACAGCUUAUCAUAUACUACAUGUAUCUAAACAUGAAACAUCUUAUCAUCAUAUACUACAUGUAUCUAAACAUUAAACAUCUUAUCAUCAUGUAUCUAAACAUUAAACAUCUUAUCAUCAUGUAUCUAAACAUUAAUCAUCUUAUCAUCAUAUACUACCUGUAUCUAAAAAUGAAACAUCUAAUCAUCAUAUACUACAUGUAUCUAAACAUGAAUCAUUUUAUCAUCAUAUACUACAUGUAUCUAAACAUGAAACAUCUUAUCAUAUACUACAUGUAUCUAAACAUGAAACAUCUUAUCAUCAUGUAUCUAAACAUGAAACAUCUUAUCAUGAAACAACUUAUCAUCAUGUAUCUAAACAUUAAACAUCUAAUCAUCAUAUACUACAUGUAUCUAAACAUGAAACAUCUUAUCAUCAUAUACUACUUGUAUCUAAACAUUAAACAUCUUAUCAUCAUGUAUCUAAACAUGAAACAUCUUAUCAUCAUAUACUAAAUGUAUCUAAACAUGAAACAUCUUAUCAUAUACUACAUGUACCUAAACAUGAAACAUCUUAUCAUAUACUACAUGUACCUAAACAUGAAACAUCUUAUCAUAUACUACAUGUAUCUAAACAUGAAACAUCUUAUAAUAUACUACAUGUAUCUAAACAUGAAACAUCUUAUCAUCAUAUACUACAUGUAUCUAAACAUGAAACAUCUUAUCAUCAUAUACUACAUGUAUCUAAACAUGAAACAUCUUAUCAUAUACUACAUGUACCUAAACAUGAAACAUCUUAUCAUAUACUACAUGUAUCUAAACAUGAAACAUCUUAUAAUAUACUACAUGUAUCUAAACAUGAAACAUCUUAUCAUCAUAUACUACAUGUAUCUAAACAUGAAACAUCUUAUCAUCAUGUAUCUAAACAUGAAACAUCUUAUCAUCAUAUACUACAUGUAUCUAAACAUUAAACAUCUUAUCAUCAUGUAUCUAAACAUUAAACAUCUUAUCAUCAUGUAUCUAAACAUGAAUCAUCUUAUCAUCAUAUACUACAUGUAUCUAAAA
ensembl:lncRNA